rnacentral:rRNA from 1 species
AGCAUAAUCAUUAGUCUAUUAAUUGUGGACUUGUAUGAAUGGUUGGACGAAAUAUUAACUGUCUCAUUUUUAUUAUUUGAAUUUAAAAUUUGGGUUAAAAUGCUUAAAUUUUUUUAUUGGACGAGAAGACCCUAUAGAUCUUUAUUAUUUUUUUUUUAUAAUUUUUUGGAUUAUAGUUUUUAUAAUUAAAUAUUAAUUUUGUUGGGGUGACAUAAGGAUCUUUAAUUAACUCCUUAUAUUUAUAUACAUUGAUUUAUGAAUAAUUGACCUUUUAUUAUUGUAAUAAGAUAUAGAUACCUUAGGGAUAACAGCGUAAUUCUUUUUGAGAGUUCAUAUCGACAAAGGAGAUUGCGACCUCG